rnacentral:rRNA from 1 species
UAGGGAAUCUUCGGCAAUGGACGAAAGUCUGACCGAGCAACGCCGCGUGAGUGAAGAAGGUUUUCGGAUCGUAAAACUCUGUUGUUAGAGAAGAACAAGGACGUUAGUAACUGAACGUCCCCUGACGGUAUCUAACCAGAAAGCCACGGCUAACUACGUGCCAGCAGCCGCGGUAAUACGUAGGUGGCAAGCGUUGUCCGGAUUUAUUGGGCGUAAAGCGAGCGCAGGCGGUUUCUUAAGUCUGAUGUGAAAGCCCCCGGCUCAACCGGGGAGGGUCAUUGGAAAAUGGGAGACUUGAGUGCAGAAGAGGAGAGUGGAAUUCCAUGUGUAGCGGUGAAAUGCGUAGAUAUAUGGAGGAAAACCAGUGGCGAAGGCGGCUCUCUGGUCUGUAACUGACGCUGAGGCUCGAAAGCGUGGGGAGCAAACAGG